rnacentral:rRNA from 1 species
GACGAACCGUGCGAACGUUGUUCGGAUUCACUGGGCUUAAAGGGCGCGUAGGCGGGCACCCAAGUCAGGGGUGAAAGCCCCCGGCCCAACCGGGGAAGUGCCUCUGAUACUGGGUGCCUCGAGCGGGGUAGGGGCAGCCGGAACUUCCGGUGGAGCGGUGAAAUGCGUAGAUAUCGGAAGGAACGCCGGUGGCGAAAGCGGGCUGCUGGACCCCCCCUGACGCUGAGGCGCGAAAGCCAGGGGAGCGAACGGG